rnacentral:rRNA from 1 species
UACGAAGGGUGCAAGCGUUACUCGGAAUUACUGGGCGUAAAGCGUGCGUAGGUGGUUUGUUAAGUCUGAUGUGAAAGCCCUGGGCCCAACCUGGGAACGGCAUUGGAAACUGGCUUACUAGAGUGCGGUAGAGGGGUGUGGAAUUCCCGGUGUAGCAGUGAAAUGCGUAGAUAUCGGGAGGAACAUCUGUGGCGAAGGCGACACCCUGGACCAGCACUGACACUGAGGCACGAAAGCGUGGGGAGCAAACAGG